rnacentral:tRNA from 1 species
AUGAUGUGAUGAUUCAAAUAUGAGCUGCUAACUCAAUAUUUUAGUGGUUCAAAUCCAUUAACAUCUUU